CUACAGUUCUAGCGCCAUCUACAGGGCAAAGGAGGCCUUGUGGCGGGUUCCAAUCUGAUACCUCCAACUGGACCCAGAAUGAGAGAUACAGUUCCCAGUCUCCUGGGUCUUCUGUUUCCUCAGCAUCAAUGGAAGAAAUCAACACAGUAAGGAACUUUCCCUACCAGGAGAAGCCAUGGUUCCAGCUACUGGCAGUGAG
rnacentral:lncRNA from 14 species